UUAAUACUCCCUCCGUCCUAAAAUUCUUAUCUUAGAUUUGUUUAAAUACGGAUGUAUUUAGUUACGUUUUAGUGUUAGAUAUAUUCAUAUCUAGACAAAUGUAAGAUGAGAAUUUUGAGACGGAGGAAGUGUAUU
rfam:Triticum aestivum genome assembly, contig: Triticum_aestivum_CS42_TGACv1_scaffold_289623_4AL